ACAUGCAAGUCGAGCGAACAGAAAAGGAGCUUGCUCCUUUGACGUUAGCGGCGGACGGGUGAGUAACACGUGGGCAACCUACCUUAUAGUUUGGGAUAACUCCGGGAAACCGGGGCUAAUACCGAAUAAUCUAUUUUACUUCAUGGUGAAAUACUGAAAGACGGUUUCGGCUGUCGCUAUAAGAUGGGCCCGCGGCGCAUUAGCUAGUUGGUGAGGUAACGGCUCACCAAGGCGACGAUGCGUAGCCGACCUGAGAGGGUGAUCGGCCACACUGGGACUGAGACACGGCCCAGACUCCUACGGGAGGCAGCAGUAGGGAAUCUUCCACAAUGGGCGAAAGCCUGAUGGAGCAACGCCGCGUGAGUGAAGAAGGUUUUCGGAUCGUAAAACUCUGUUGUAAGGGAAGAACAAGUACAGUAGUAACUGGCUGUACCUUGACGGUACCUUAUUAGAAAGCCACGGCUAACUACGUGCCAGCAGCCGCGGUAAUACGUAGGUGGCAAGCGUUGUCCGGAAUUAUUGGGCGUAAAGCGCGCGCAGGCGGUCCUUUAAGUCUGAUGUGAAAGCCCACGGCUCAACCGUGGAGGGUCAUUGGAAACUGGGGGACUUGAGUGCAGAAGAGGAAAGUGGAAUUCCAAGUGUAGCGGUGAAAUGCGUAGAGAU
rnacentral:rRNA from 1 species